GAGAAAGACAUAAAGGUUAUGGGAUUGGCUUGAAACCAAUCUGAGGGGGUUCGAUUCCUUCCUUUCUUA
rnacentral:tRNA from 1 species